GAAAUGCGAUAAGUAAUGUGAAUUGCAGAAUUCAGUGAAUCAUCGAAUCUUUGAACGCACCUUGCGCUCAUUGGUAUUCCUUGGAGCAUGCCUGUUUGAGUAUCAUGAAAUCUUCAAAGUAAAUCUUUGUUAACUCAAUUGGUUUCUACUUUGGUAUUGGAGGUCUUUGCAGCUUCACACCUGCUCCUCUUUGUUCAUUAGCUGGAUCUCAGUGUUAUGCUUGGUUCCACUCGGCGUGAUAAGUUAUCUAUCGCUGAGGACACUGUAAAAGGUGGCCAAGGUAAAUGCAGAUGAACCGCUUCUAAUAGUCCAUUGACUUGGACAAUACUUUUAUGAUCUGAUCUCAAAUCAGGUAGGACUACCCGCUGAACUUAAGC
rnacentral:misc_RNA from 1 species